rnacentral:rRNA from 1 species
AACGAACGCUGGCGGCGAGGAUAAGACAUGCAAGUCGUACGCUGGUAUGCGGGUAGCAAUAUUUGCAUAUUGGAGUGGCGAACGGGUGAGUAACACGUGGGUAAUUUAUCUUUGAGUUAGGGAUAAUUCGCUGAAGGGCGGACUAAUACCGAAUGUGGAUACUGGGUGGGGACAUCUGGUUUCUAAAGUUGGGGACCGAGAGGCCUGGCGCUCACAGGUAAGCCCGCGUCCUAUCAGCUGGUUGGUGAGGUAAGAGCUUACCAAGGCUAUGACGGGUAGCUGGUCUGAGAGGACGAUCAGCCACACUGGAACUGAGACACGGUCCAGACACCUACGGGUGGCAGCAGUCGAGAAUCUUUCUCAAUGGGGGCAACCCUGAAGGAGCGACGCCGCGUGGGGGAUGAAGGGCUUCGGCUCGUAAACCCCUGUCAUUUGUGAGCAGGUGUGAUUGUUUAAGAGAUGGUUACAUAGAUAGUAGCAAAAGAGGAAGGGACGGCUAACUCUGUGCCAGCAGCCGCGGUAAUACAGAGGUCCCAAGCGUUGUUCGGAAUCACUGGGCGUAAAGGGUGCGUANGCGGUAGUGUAA